rnacentral:rRNA from 1 species
GUGGGGAAUAUUGGACAAUGGGGGAAACCCUGAUCCAGCGACGCCGCGUGAAGGAUGAAGGCCUUCGGGUUGUAAACUUCUUUUGGAGGGGACGAAUAAAUUGACGGUACCCUCAGAAAAAGCCACGGCUAACUACGUGCCAGCAGCCGCGGUAAUACGUAGGUGGCGAGCGUUACUCGGAAUUACUAGGCGUAAAGCGUAUGUAGGCGGUUGUAUAAGUCUAUGGUUAAAUUUCCUGGCUCAACUGGGAAGGGACAUAGAUACUGUAUGGCUUGAGUGUUGGCGGGGGAGACGGAAUUCCUGGUGUAGCGGUGAAAUGCGUAGAUAUCAGGAGGAACACCGAUGGCGAAAGCAGUCUCCUGGCCAAAUACUGACGCUGAGGUACGAAAGCUAGGGUAGCAAACAGGAUUAGAUACCCCUGUAGUCC